rfam:Brachypodium distachyon strain Bd21 chromosome 2, whole genome shotgun sequence.
CACAUAUUCCUCCGUCAAACAAAGAAUGUCUCAAUUUUGACUAAAUUUGAAUGCAUCUAUACAUUAAGUCAUGUCUAGCUAGAUACAUCCAAAUUUUAACAAAUUUGAAACAUCUUUUGUUGGACGGAGGAAGUAGAAC